CAAGUGUCUUUGGAAGAACGCAGAACAGUGGCACAUACUCCAGGGACAUCGGGGUGCUGGGUGCCCUCUUGCUUCUCCGCCUUGCCCCAUUGCCCAUCCCUUCCAUCUCUCCUCCCACUCGCCUCUUCUUGUCAUCCUCAGCCCUGCCACUCUGUGCCAAGUCUAAUUUCUCCAAACCUCUCAACCUCAGCUCAAAUGUGCACCCAGGCUUCAUUUUCUUAAUCAUUGUUUAUCUUUCUAUGUCAGUUGACAUACAGUAUUAUGUUCAUUUCAGGUGUGUACCCCAGUGAUUAGCAUAUAGCUUACUAGCCGAUCAUACUGAUAAAUCUUAUACCCAUAUGACACCAUACACAGUUAUUAAAAUAUUAUUGACUAUAUUCCCUAUGCUGUACUUUACAUCCCCAUGACUAUCCUGUACCUACCAAUUUGCACUUCUUAAUCCCCUCAUCUUUCUCAGCCCUUCCUCCAAUUACCCUUCUGUCUGGCAACUAUCAAAAUGUUCUUUGUAUCUAUGAGUCUGCUUCUAUUCUGCUUGUUCCUUUAUUUUGUUUUUUUAGAUUCAAUAUUGAUAUUCAGUAUUGUUUUUUAGAUUCAAUGUUGAUAGAUAUAUAUUUAUUGCCAUUUUAUUAUUCAUAUUUUUAAAUAUUUCUUUCCUUCUUCAUAAAGAAUAUCCUUUUACAUUUUACAUAAUACUGGUUUGGUAGUGAUGAAGUCCUUUAACUUUUUCUUGAGGAAGCUCUUUGCAUGUCAUUCAAUUCUAAAUUAUAGCAUUGCUGGGUAGAGUAAUCUUGAUUGUAAGUCCUUCAUUUUCAUCACUUUGAAUAUUUCUUGCCACUCCUUUCUGGCUUACAGUUUCUAUUGAAAAAUCAGCUGACAGUCUUAUGGGAGCUGCCUUGUAAGUAACUAACUGCCUUUCCCCUGCUGUUUUAAAGAUUCUCUCUUUGUCCAGGAAGUGCAGAGAGUCCCAAACAAGAUCAGCCUAAAGAGGCCCACACCAAGACACAUCAUAAUUAAAAUGUAGCCAGACUUCAUGUUCGGGACAGAGCACAUUCCUCCAGCAGAGCAAAAAGGUAUUCGGAGUCUGUACGUCUCUCUUCUUUCUUAUUUCUUCUCUACUGGUGUGGACCUGUUUGCUGGAGUAGCUUGUCCAUUACAUAAGUUUAAUGCUGACCUGCUAAACCUUUGUUUCCCCGAGGACCUGUCCUCUCUGAGAGGCCGCACAGAGCAAAAUGCAGUCACCUCAACUGAGCUUCCCAGACCAGACAACCCUCAGCUGACCCACCAGCUGCUCAGUGAGACAGACCCCAGUCCAGUCAAGAUUUGCUGAGCUUUACCUGUAUCAGAGCAGUCCAUCUGAUCUUUGGUUCAAGAGAAAUAGGAAAUGUUUAUUGUUUAUGCCAUUGCCAUUUAUCGAUCAUAAACUAUGCCCCAUACUUUGCUAAAGGCAGAGAACAUAAUGAUGGAGGAAAUGUGAUCCCUGCUUUUGAAAGGAUCCCAAGCAAAGUUUAUCAACUGGAAUCAAUGAUAGUUUUGAGUUAUAGUGUCCCUCACUGGAGCGUGAUCAGAUUCCCUAGGCUCCUUGAGCCUGGAGCCUGUGUCUUCCCCAAGAUUGCAUCUCAGCCCCUAGUAGGCCAAUGAGUCAUCCACACCAUUACCUGUAUAAUUUGCUUUUGCUUCAAGAAGACUGUUUCUAAAUGCACUCCUUUUACAUUUGCUUUUGUUUGUUGCUUGGUCCUAACUUUACGUGACAAAUAGAAUCAGAGCUUUUCAUGUCUCUAAAGGGGAAGAGAACCAACAUUUGUCAAAUACUUAAAUACUUGCCAUGUCCCACCACCAUGCUAGGCAUGAUACAUCUCCAAUAACGUUAAUCCUCACCGUGACGACAGGAGGCUGAAUUUAUUACUGACAUUGUACAGAAAGAGAUACUGGGGCUCAGAGAGGUUAAGUAACCUGCCACAGGUCACACAGUGUGUAUGUGGAAUAGAAUUGCUGUUGUUUUAUUUAAAACGUACUCUUCUCCCCACUCCCAGUGCUAAUAUUCUACCUUGAAUAACACCUGGGUCAAUCCCUUAUCUGAUGACAUAAAAUCUUCAGUUUUGUGAUGACUUGAAAAGGCUCUCAAUAAAGGAAGAGAGCAGGCAAGCCACAGUCCAAAGAAGACUUAUGCAUUUUCAACUGGAGAACAAUGAGAGUUAGAUUUUAUGGAAUCACAGGGGGGUAGAUUAGCGUGUGGGGUGUGUAAUGACAGGGCCCACGAACAUUCCUGGAUUGAAGAGUUUAUGCCCGUCUUCCUGCCUUCACCAGCUGUACUCGCCUCUGAUUUAAUUACAUGUUUAGGGUACAGAUGCCUCUAGAAUUGCAAACCAUAUCUUGCUUCCUAUGAAGGGUUAUUGGUUAGAUGACACUCAGCUCAUGGAAUGCAGAGAGAAGAAAGAGAUGUCAGCUUGUCCCUUAGCAGUGGAGAUAUAUGUGAGUCAUUGUGAGUCAAGAUUUAUUCAUCAAUUUACUCAAAAAUAUCUACUGUUUACUUUGGUAAACAUUUAUUGUCUAUUUUUGGCCAGUCAGAGUAUUCCAUUCUCCUAGACAGAAUAAUUAGUGCAGGGGUAGGAAGAUAGCCUAAUCUAUGCUAGAGUCCAAUAUCAGGAAUUAACAUGGAUACUCAAAAAGUGUCUCUCAGACACUGAGCAAAAAGAUCUUCGGUUGCCAGGGGCCAUUUUAUCCACCACAAUAAGACAUUCUGCCGGAGAAGGAAGCCAACACAGAGGAAACAGAACUGCAACGUGGAGAAAGAAGAAACAGUUGAACACCUAGAUCCUGCCGUGCCUGAAUCCCUAGACUUUUGUAGCUUCCUUGAGCAGAUACCCUCACUGCACUCAAUACUAGAGUUGGGGGCUGGCAAUAUGAGAAUAUGAAUUCCUUUCCUUACUUGAAUUAUCAAUAAACUGUUGCAGGAACAGCCUAUUGGGGGCAUAGCUGGUAUUAUAGAGCAAGCAGAGGGCUUGUAGUCAGAGCUGUGGGUUUGAAUCCUAGUCCUGGAAUUUGUUCUUUUAAAGUCUAAUUAUAGGAUCUACUGAUCUCGUCCCAGGAGUCAGGACAAUAAUAGGCUGUCUGCUCAUCCCACAUUGAGCUCCCAGUCUUGUGGGGCAUCUGGGCUUACUAACUGGUUGCAUCAUUUUGGAAAACUAGUUGACCUCUGUGACCCUCAGUUUACUUAUUUGUAAACAGGGGCUACUGAGAGGUGUGCGAAUCAAAUGAACCAGUGGAUAUGAGAGCACUUUAUAAACUGUGAAGGGAGCACACCCAAAAGCUCCCAAGGGCAGGGCCUGUCUGAGUCAGCACUGAGCAAAUAUUCAUUUAAGUAUUAAAUGCCUAACAACAACAUGGUUGAUGUGCAACACGCUUGUUGAAAGAGUAAAAUAACUGAAGCAAAUCCUCUUUAAGAAGAUACUAAAAAAUUGUCCUCCUCCUCCUUCAUCAUUUUUUUAUAACCCAGCUUAAAAUGUAUCACUGGAGAGGGCCCAGCUUCACUGGCCAUGAGAAGCUUUGAUCUGGAGGCUCCUCGUGCCCGUUAACGAUUGCUGCCUGACAAACCAUCACAACACUUACCCUGGAAAACAAACAAACACCCAAACCCAAACCAACCACUUAUUAUUGUUGGAGUGUGUGGGUCAGCUGGGCAGUUUUGCUGAUCUCAGCUGGGCUUGGCUGGUCUUAUCUGUUUUCAUGCAUCAGGUGCCAGCUAGUGGGCCAGCUGGAGAAUGGCUGGGAUGGGAUGCCAUCAGAUGAGAAGCACCGUUCUCCGACAGGCUAGCCUGAACUCAUGGUGGCGGCAUGUUUCCAAAAGACUGUGGAAUCAUGCAAAGCCUCUUGCAGUCUGGGCUCAGAACCGGUCCACUCCACAGUUUCCAAAGCAAUGUGUAACCAGGCUGGCCCAGAUUUCGGUGGUAGGAACACAGACUUCACGUACAGGUGGGAGGAGUUGUAAAGUCACAUCGCAAGUGAUGCAGAAGCAGGGAGGAUAGAAAUUGGAAUAUAUUUGCAAUCAAUCAAAUGACCUUUGAACCUAAGUGGAAUAGUCCUUUAAUGCUAGACACUCAAAAGGAAAAAUGUAGAUUCUCUCCUAUCUUACCUCUUCAUCUCUCCUUGCCCCUGGGGGAGGCUUCAAGAUCUCUUCUAUCUAGGUAAUUAUGGGAGCUCCAAACCGAUACCUGCCUUCAAGCCAGUUUGACAAUCAUUUAUUUUGGGUCUUCUAUCUCCCCAGGGCUGGGCUAAGCUUAGAAGAAAAAACAGAUGUUCCAGCAGUCGCCAACUGGUGGUCCAUGAGGUCCGGAAGGUUGGCGACCACUGUUCUAGAACACAGACACACUACCUGUAACACAGGCGGAUAAAUGCUUCUGCACCUUCUCACUGCAAAUCACUCCCCCUUUGCCACCAGCAUUACUCUCAUAAAGGUCUUUGUUGCCUACAAGAGUAACGACCUCAUUUCUCAGCCUGGCAUUCAGCGCAUUCACCAAUUGCUCCCCACCUCUCCUUCCAGCCUCUUGCCCUGUUACUGCUGGGAGAGAAAAGAAUACUCAACUAAAUCAGAAUCCUAGGGUCCCACAACUGAAUUUCCUUUUCUCUGUCUCACCCUCAUCUCUGCCUGUUUAAAUCCCACUCAUCCUAUGAAGAUCUUGCUCAAUCGCCAACCUCCUCCACAGGGCCGUCCCUCCCCAGCCUACCUGGAAUCUCUCUCUUCUUUUUCUCUGCUUCCCUCGUCAUUUUUUACUAUAUUACCACAUUCUUGUGUUGUGUACCACACCAAUGGCAGACCUCUCACCUGUGUGUCCAUCAGGCUACCUGGUGUGUCUGCCUCCUGGGAGCUGCCAAGUCAGUGCUAUGGACCUGACUUGAACUACUUCCCAGUUCCCUCCACCUGCUCUGCAACCUUGCCUCACAUCUCAGAGCUGGCCAGCGUCACAGUCCCUUUCCAGGACUCGGUUUAGCCAGCGGUGAAAGCCGCACUUGAGUUGGGAUAUGGCCGAGCUGCCGAAUUGGCAUGAACGAUAGGCCUAAAAACAGUCAUGCUCCGUGACAGGGGAUCGGUUACUUAUUGUAUGUAAUUCCUCCUCUGGCCACUUUUCUGAGGCUUGAACCCACAGUGCCUCGCUGACUUUAUUUUUAGGUGUCUGGCCGUUUGAAAGAGGGCUCCAACUGUCCUUGGUUUAUUAUUACACUGUGAGCUGCCCUGGGAAACCCAGUGCCCUGAUUCUGAGAAGACAACCUGUCUAGUUGAGACUCUUUUUUACUCUAAGUUUGAAACUCCGUGUUCUAGGUGAGUGGCUUUCAAACUUCAGCGUCAGUAAGAAUCAUCCGAGGUAUUUGAAGGCAUGCAAAUUCCUGGGCAUUAUCUUUAGAGUUUCUGAAUUCCUAUGUCUGGGCAGGGCCCCAGGACCAUGUAAUUUUCUCAGGCUCCCAGGUGAUUCUGCUGCUGACUGAUCAUACUUAGGAAAAAACUACUGUAGAAUUGUAAGCAUCAGACAAUGAAGAAAAAUGUUUGCCACAGUUAAGCAACUGAUGUGAUGACAAAGUUAUCACAGCUCAGAGAUCAAGAAGGUCUCCAAGCACCUCCCCUUUCAUCAUGCCACUCCUCUGCUCACGAACAUGCAAUGGCUCCAUCUUUCCUCUUCCAGAUCAAGCACAAACUCCUCCUUUGAUAUCUCACCUGCAGGGGAUGGGCUAUUUCACCCCGCUGCUUUUCAUUCUGCUUAUUUUAUAUCCAAUCUCUUCUUCAUUAGAAUCACCAACGUUUUAUUGAAAGCCUUCCUUAUGUCAGGAACUGUCCCAUUCAUUCAUUCAUUCAUUCAUUUAAUCUUCAGGUCAGCCUUGAGAUAAAGUUAUUAUCAUGAUCCCCAUUGCUGCUGCAGCUCAAGGCCUGAGUCAUUUCAUUAAGGGAGUGCUCUGCGUCGGCCCUGUUCCGGCCAACAGCUGCAAGGUGCCAGACUGAAGCAGGUUGCCUCAACUUUGUCAACUCUAACUUGCUGUGUGACUUCAGCCUGCCCUCCUCAAGUCCUCAACUCUUGAAGCUACGGUCAAGUGUGAGCAGAGACACGCUGAGUCUAUCUGAGGCCAUCACUGCAAUGAUUCUGAGUUGCAGACUCAGGUGGGACUGAGGCCAGGAAGGAGGGAAAUGCCAUGGGAAAGAUGCCAGCUACAGGACCUCCAGCUACCAUGUCACGAAUAUGCUCAGGAAGCCUGUGGUGAAACCCAACAGGUGGGAUCCGAGACCUGCAAACAGCCACAUGCGUACACUUGGAAGUGGACCUUCUGAGUCUGCCAACAGCCAUGCGAGGGAGCUUGGAAAGAAAUUCUCCAGCCUCACUGAGCCUUGAGAUCACUGUAGCUGUCACCAACACCCUCGAUGCCACUUCAUGAGACACCCAGAGCCAAAGGCAUCCUGCUAAGCAGGGACCAGAUUCCUGACCCCCCAAAACUGUGAGGCAAUAGGUGCCCAUGAUCUUAAGUUGCUAAUCAUUGAAGUAGUUUGUUGUAAAAUAAUAGAUCAUUGAUACAGCUUCCUAAAAUAGUUGGUCAUUGAUAACUUUCUAUACUCUUUCUUUUCACCUUCUCUCCACAGAUCACCCAUGGCCUUCUCUCAGGUAGCCACCUGUCCAGAGAAUGGAAUUUGAGAAAUAACAGCGUAAGGUAUUAAAUGACUAUCUUCCAAAUGUUCUAAACCAAGCAUGUCAAACUCGCGGUACAUUUUGUUAAUGUCCUGAACUUGGAUUAAAACCCCAAAGAACUGGUUUACUGUCUUUAGAUGAAUAUAGGAAUAAUAGGUAAUCUUCAGACUAAAAAUUUAUUUAAAUUAAGGUUCCUACACCACUAUAAAAAAAGAAAUACAACUCUGGAAAAUUAUCAGAAAUAACUACUAUUUCAUCUUCUACCCUCUGAACUCCGUGUUUUCCAGGUUCUAUAAAAAAAAUAUACAGCCGCUGGGCUUUAGAGAUAUGUUACUAAGCACAAACAUCUCCUCUGCAUCCUCGCCGUAAGACAUAAAACAAUGCAUCACUGUUGUCUAUGAGCUCUGGGGAAUGUCUUGGUUGUCCUGAAACCUGCUUUGGCUUCUGACUUAGGCUACAGCUUACUCACAGUUUCAUGACGUUGAUCUUACUGACUCGUGAAUCACACGGGCCAAUAGUGUGUUUUACCCUCAUACAUUACCCUAAAGUCUUUUUAAUUGAGCUGGUUAAAAACAGAAGGGACAUGGGCUCAGAAUAAAUGAUUCUGGAGAGUUUAAAUACUCAGCUCUAUCUUUUGUUACCAGUAGAUGUUGAAAAAUGGUCACCAAUUUCAAUGAUAUUAUUGAUGUUGUUAUUAUUAUAGAAGAGGGUAUGGGGGAUAAAUGGUGACAGAAGAAAACUAGACCUGGGAUGGUGAACACACAAUACAAUAUAUAGAUGAUGUACUAUAGAGUUGUACUCCUGAAAUCUAUAUAAUAUUAUUAACCACUGUCACCCCAAUAAAUUCAAUAAAAAAUACAGGAAAAAAUCAAUG